rnacentral:rRNA from 1 species
ACAUACGACCAUAGACUCAAGAGAACUGGGCAUCCCGUCCGCUCUGCCAUACAUAAACCUGAGAUCGGUGGAUUAGUAGUUGGGUGGGUGACCACCAGCGAAUACCCACUGUUGUAUGUU